AGAAGACAAAGAGGAGAGAGAAUGGGGAGGAAGAAGAUGAAAAGCAAGAAAGAAUGGAGGUUAGAGGGGACCACCGUGAGGAGGAAUAGUUUAUGGAUAGCUUGGAGGAGGAGGAUGAGGAAAAAAUGGAUGGAGAAAAAGAGAAGGGAUAGAGGAAUGGGAGGAGAAAGGAGGAAGAGAAAGUGGAGGAGGAGAAAUAGGUGAGG
rnacentral:lncRNA from 1 species